rnacentral:rRNA from 1 species
GAGGAAUAUUGGUCAAUGGACGUAAGUCUGAACCAGCCAAGUAGCGUGCAGGAUGACGGCCCUAUGGGUUGUAAACUGCUUUUGUAUGGGGAUAAAGUCAAUCACGUGUGAUUGUUUGCAGGUACCAUACGAAUAAGGACCGGCUAAUUCCGUGCCAGCAGCCGCGGUAAUACGGAAGGUCCGGGCGUUAUCCGGAUUUAUUAGGUUUAAAGGGAGCGUAGGCCGGAGAUUAAGUGUGUUGUGAAAUGUAGACGCUCAACGUCUGACUUGCAGCGCAUACUGGUUUCCUUGAGUACGCACAACGUUGGCGGAAUUCGUCGUGUAGCGGUGAAAUGCUUAGAUAUGACGAAGAACUCCGAUUGCGAAGGCAGCUGACGGGAGCGCAACUGACGCUUAAGCUCGAAGGUGCGGGUAUCGAACAGGAUUAGAUACCCUGGUAGUCCGCACAGUAAACGAUGGAUGCCCGCUGUUGGUACCUGGUAUCAGCGGCUAAGCGAAAGCAUUAAGCAUCCCACCUGGGGAGUACGCCGGCAACGGUG